UACGUAGGUCCCGAGCGUUGUCCGGAUUUAUUGGGCGUAAAGCGAGCGCAGGUGGUUUAUUAAGUCUGGUGUAAAAGGCAGUGGCUCAACCACUGUAUGCAUUGGAAACUGGUAGACUUGAGUGCAGGAGAGGAGAGUGGAAUUCCAUGUGUAACGGUGAAAUGCGUAGAUAUAUGGAGGAACACCGGUGGCGAAAGCGGCUCUCUGGCCUGUAACUGACACUGAGGCUCGAAAGCGUGGGGAGCAAACAGG
rnacentral:rRNA from 1 species